rnacentral:rRNA from 1 species
AUUGAACGCUGGCGGCAUGCCUUACACAUGCAAGUCGAACGGCAGCACGGGAGCAAUCCUGGUGGCUAGUGGCGAACGGGUGAGUAAAGUAUCGGAACGUGCCCAGUCGUGGGGGAUGACGUAGCGAAAGUUACGCCAAUACCGCAUACGAUCUAUGGAUGAAAGCGGGGGAUCGCAAGACCUCGCGCGAUUGGAGCGGCCGAUAUCAGAUUAGGUAGUUGGUGGGGUAAAGGCUCACCAAGCCGACGAUCUGUAGCUGGCCUGAGAGGACGACCAGCCACACUGGGACUGAGACACGGCCCAGACUCCUACGGGAGGCAGCAGUGGGGAAUUUUGGACAAUGGGCGAAAGCCUGAUCCAGCCAUGCCGCGUGCAGGAUGAAGGCCUUCGGGUUGUAAACUGCUUUUGUACGGAACGAAAAGGUUUGGGCUAAUAAGCUGAGCUCAUGACGGUACCGUAAGAAUAAGCACCGGCUAACUACGUGCCAGCAGCCGCUGUAA